rnacentral:lncRNA from 1 species
AUUUUUUAAUUUUGAGACAGGAUUUCAAUAAAUUGCCAAAGCUGGCCUCAAUUCUGUGUUCCUCUGCCUCAGCCUCCAGAGUUGCUGGGUUUACGGGUGUGCUCCAUCACUCCUGGCAUGUGUUAGUUUACAUUUUCAAGUAAUAUGUUCAAUUUGAUUUCCCUUACCUUCUGGACCAGAUAUAUCUGUUCAGUUGAUAAACCUAAAGUUUGAACAAUGGAUCAGCAAAUACACUCUGUCCUGUUCUCAGACUUUUUAGACAUGGGUAGCAGACCAAAAUGAAUCAGACCAUACUGCUGUUAUUUGAAAAUGUAACAUUAAGUGUGUCUUAAGUCUCCUGACUUUGUGGAUCCAGAUCCGCUGCACAGGGCAUAUAUGUAUAUUUUGGGGUGGGGUGGGGGUGUAUCCUUUGGAGAAGGAAACAACUACAUCUUAUUCCAGAUCUGAAGUCAUCAGAACAGGCUGAUAUAGAGUCACACUGGGUUGAUAUACAAUCAACAGAAACCUUAGACCUUGUUUUCAUGCCUAAGAGUAUUUUAUGUUAUUCUCUUUGGAGGGUAAGUCAGCUGUCCUCAAUUGGUGACAGUAGGUUGAGCUGAUGAUACUGGUAACUGGAGUCUGAAAAAUCCAUCCCAAAUACCAACCAUCGCGGCCCAAUUUAGAGGAAAAAAAACCGACAGCUUUUAUUAAUAAAACAAAAGGAAACUUCUGUAAAAUAAGGAGUGGUGAGAGCUGCAGCAAACCCGAGGGGCUGCCUGAGCUGCUCCUUAUCCUGUUGGACUGUUUUCUUGGGGUAUUUAGACUUCCUGGUAGAAGGGAUCUGCAUAGCCCCCACAGCAGAAGUUGUUCUCCAAUAGAAGAAGUAGGUUUUUCAGCUCCUCUAGGAAUGUCCAUUACUGGUCCUCUCUAACUCAGGUAAAAAGUUUGCUUACACAGGUGCCAGAUUUUUCUGUGCCUCUUGAACUCUUCUUCCAAGCUUUGGAGUCACCUAUUUGGUCAAGGGGAGUCUAGGACCAUCAGAG